rnacentral:piRNA from 1 species
GAUGCUUACAAAAUGUAUUAUCCAUGUCCAA